rnacentral:rRNA from 1 species
UACCAGCACCCCGAGUGGUCGGGACGAUUAUUGGGCCUAAAGCAUCCGUAGCCGGUUCUACAAGUCUUCCGUUAAAUCCACCUGCUCAACAGUUGGGCUGCGGAGGAUACUAUAGAGCUAGGAGGCGGGAGAGGCAAGCGGUACUUAGUGGGUAGGGGUAAAAUCCGUUGAUCCAUCGAAGACCACCAGCGGCGAAGGCGGCUUGCCAGAACGCACUCGACGGUGAGGGAUGAAAGCUGGGGGAGCAAACCGG